UACGUAGGGGGCAAGCGUUGUCCGGAUUUAUUGGGCGUAAAGAGCGUGUAGGCGGCUUGGUAGGUCCGCUGUGAAAACUCGAGGCUCAACCUCGAGAUGUCGGCGGAAACCAUCAGACUAGAGUCCGGAAGAGGAGAGUGGAAUUCCUGGUGUAGCGGUGAAAUGCGCAGAUAUCAGGAAGAACACCCGUGGCUAAGGCGGCUCUCUAGUACGGUACUGACGCUGAGACGCGAAAGCGUGGGGAGCGAACAGG
rnacentral:rRNA from 1 species